rnacentral:tRNA from 2 species
GAGUGGCUCAGUCGGUAGAGCAGCUGAUUCGUAAUCAGCAGGUCGUGGGUUCGAUUCCCAUCUC